AACUUUUGAUUUAUUUUAUGGAUC
rnacentral:siRNA from 1 species